UCCGGUUUGACACCGGCAGUCUCGCCAGAGUGCUCGCCAUGACGCGUUUGCAACUGACGACAGGGGUUUCGCUCGUUAGGGGACUUAACCCAACACCUCAAGGCACGAGCUGACGACAGCCAUGCAACACCUGUGCUGGUUACACCCGAAGGCAAUCCCUCGGCUUUCACCGAGUUAAUCCCAGCAUGUCAAGCCCUGGUAAGGUUCUUCGCGUUGCCUCGAAUUAAACCACACGCUCCGCUGCUUGUGCGGGCCCCCGCCUAUUCCUUUGAGUUUUAACCUUGCGGCCGUAGUCCCCAGGCGGUGAACUUAAUGCGUUAGCUGCGGCACUGAUCGGGUCAAUCCGACCAACACCUAGUUCACAACGUUUAGGGCGUGGACUAC
rnacentral:misc_RNA from 1 species